CCUACGGGAGGCAGCAGUGGGGAAUAUUGGUCAAUGGGCGCAAGCCUGACCCAGCAACGCCGCGUGAAGGAAGAAGGCUCUCGGGUUGUUAACUUCUUUUAAUAGGGAAGCGUAGAAGACGGUACCUAUCGAAUAAGCCACGGCUAACUACGUGCCAGCAGCCGCGGUCAUACGUAGGUGGCAAGCGUUGUCCGGAUUUACUGGGUGUAAAGGGCGUGUAGCCGGGUAGACAAGUCAGAUGUGAAAUCCGGCGGCUCAACCCGCGAACGGCAUAUGAAACUGUUUGUCUUGAGUACUGGAGAGGGAACCGGAAUGCCUGGUGUAGCGGUGAAAUGCGUAGAUAUCAGGAGGAACACCAGUGGCGAAGGCGGAUUCCUGGACAGCAACUGACGGUGAGGCGCGAAAGCGUGGGGAGCGAACAGGAUUAGAUACCCGAGUAGUC
rnacentral:rRNA from 1 species